rnacentral:rRNA from 1 species
UACAGGAGGGGCAAGCGUUAUCCGGAUUCACUGGGUUUAAAGGGUGCGUAGGUGGGCAGGUAAGUCAGUGGUGAAAUCCCCGAGCUUAACUUGGGAACUGCCAUUGAUACUAUUUGUCUUGAAUACUGUGGAGGUUAGCGGAAUAUGUCAUGUAGCGGUGAAAUGCUUAGAUAUGACAUAGAACACCGAUAGCGAAGGCAGCUUGCUACACGAGUAUUGACACUGAGGCACGAAAGCGUGGGGAGCGAACAGG